rnacentral:rRNA from 1 species
UGGGCGAAAGCCUGAUGCAGCGACGCCGCGUGAGGGAUGACGGCCUUCGGGUUGUAAACCUCUUUCAGCAGGGAAGAAGCGAAAGUGACGGUACCUGCAGAAGAAGCGCCGGCUAACUACGUGCCAGCAGCCGCGGUAAUACGUAGGGCGCAAGCGUUGUCCGGAAUUAUUGGGCGUAAAGAGCUCGUAGGCGGCUUGUCGCGUCGGUUGUGAAAGCCCGGGGCUUAACCCCGGGUCUGCAGUCGAUACGGGCAGGCUAGAGUUCGGUAGGGGAGAUCGGAAUUCCUGGUGUAGCGGUGAAAUGCGCAGAUAUCAGGAGGAACACCGGUGGCGAAGGCGGAUCUCUGGGCCGAUACUGACGCUGAGGAGCGAAAGCGUGGGGAGCGAACAGGAUUAGAUACCCUGGUAGUCCACGCCGUAAACGGUGGGCACUAGGUGUGGGCAACAUUCCACGUUGUCCGUGCCGCAGCUAACGCAUUAAGUGCCCCGCCUGGG